UUGAACGCUGGCGGCAGGCCUAACACAUGCAAGUCGAGCGGAUGAAGGGAGCUUGCUCCUGGAUUCAGCGGCGGACGGGUGAGUAAUGCCCAGGAAUCUGCCUGGUAGUGGGGGAUAACGUCCGGAAACGGGCGCUAAUACCGCAUACGUCCUGAGGGAGAAAGUGGGGGAUCUUCGGACCUCACGCUAUCAGAUGAGCCUAGGUCGGAUUAGCUAGUUGGUGGGGUAAAGGCCUACCAAGGCGACGAUCCGUAACUG
rnacentral:rRNA from 1 species